GCCUGGCUGGCUCAGUUGGUAGAGCGUGCGACUCUUAUUCUCAGGGUUGUGUGUUCGAACCCCAUGUUCAGUG
rnacentral:tRNA from 1 species